GUGCCAGCAGCCGCGGUAAUACGGGGGGUGCAAGCGUUGUUCGGAUUCACUGGGUAUAAAGGGUGCGUAGGCGGCGCGAUAAGUCAGGGGUGAAAUAUGUCGGCUCAACCGACAAACUGCCUCUGAAACUGCCGCGCUUGAGGUCGGGAGAGGAAGGUGGAAUUCCAGGUGUAGCGGUGAAAUGCGUAAAUAUCUGGAGGAACACCAAUGGCGAAGGCAGCCUUCUGGCCCGAUUCUGACGCUGAGGCACGAAAGCUAGGGGAGCAAACGGGAUUAUAUACCCCGGUAGUCCUAGCCGUAAACGAUGGGCACUAUGUGUUGGAGGAGUCUACCCCUUCAGUGCCGCAGCUAAUGCAUUAAGUGCCCCACCUGGGGAGUA
rnacentral:rRNA from 1 species